GUUAUUAUGCGGUGAGACUUCUAAUGGAUGCUUCAUGCCUUCAUCCUUGAAUGCGUGCAGUUGACUUACUUUAGUUUUGACUAACAAUCUCUUCAUGGGUGUUUAGACCAACCAUGUGAAAUAGUCUGGGUAGAAAUUUAGAAUCGACUCAGAAAAUACAUCAUUCUGCCACCUUUUAUUUACAUAUCCCAUUGUUCUGUUAGGUGUAUUUAUACAUAUGCCACACCGUUCUGCUACUGUUCACUCAGUGUUUAGUGCAACGUCAAACGAUUGGAAUAUCCCUAGGACCCGUAAGGGCUCUCUUAUUCCAAUUGACCCAUUCACCCGUGGUGGGGCCGAGCAAGACACCACUAAGUUACCUCCCCGACUGCACCGGCUAGGAUGGGUUUGGGGGUGGCGACGAGUCCUCAAGCGCCUAUGGGUGGAAGAAAAGAUAAUGAAUGGCAUCGAGGGAGAGAGGAUGGAGGCAGUGGGGCUGGCCAAAGAGUGUUAACGGACCUUGACUGAAUAUAGAAAGAGUGUAGUGGCAUAUACAUAGAUACAUCUAACAGAACACAAGUUAGUAGUUGAACUAAUGGCAAAUGUGUAAAAUCCCCUUGUUAAAAUUGUAAUCUUAUUGGGUUUCAAAAAUAGAUUACAAUAGAUACUGAUGAUCAAAGUUACUUUUGGAGACCCUUCACUUAUGUGGUUGAAGGUUACUUUAAAA